rnacentral:rRNA from 1 species
AUUGAACGCUGGCGGCAGGCCUAACACAUGCAAGUCGAGCGCGUGGCGGACAGGUGUGUAAUGUCUGGGAAACUGCCCGAUGGUGAGGGAUACCUCCUGGAAACGGUAGAUAUUACCGCAUACUAUCAGAUGUGCGCAGAUGGGAUUAGCUAGUAGGUGGGGUAACGGCUCACCUAGGCGACGAUCCCUAGCUGGUCUGAGAGGAUGACCAGCCACACUGGAACUGAGACACGGUCCAGACUCCUACGGGAGGCAGCAGUGGGGAAUAUUGCACAAUGGGCGCAAGCCUGAUGCAGCCAUGCCGCGUGUGUGAAGAAGGCCUUCGGGUUGUAAAGCACUUUCGGCGGGGAGGCGGUACCCGCAGAGGAAGCACCGGCUAACUCCGUGCCAGCAGCCGCGGUAAUAC